rnacentral:tRNA from 3 species
GGUGUGGUGAAGUGGUUAACACACCAGAUUGUGGCUCUGGCAUGCGUGGGUUCGAUCCCCAUCACUCGCCU